AUGAACGCUGGCGGCGUGCCUAAUACAUGCAAGUCGAGCGAACAGACGGGGAGCUUGCUCCUCUGACGUUAGCGGCGGACGGGUGAGUAACACGUGGAUAACCUACCUAUAAGACUGGGAUAACUUCGGGAAACCGGAGCUAAUACCGGAUAAUAUAUUGAACCGCAUGGUUCAAUAGUGAAAGACGGUUUUGCUGUCACUUAUAGAUGGAUCCGCGCCGCAUUAGCUAGUUGGUAAGGUAACGGCUUACCAAGGCAACGAUGCGUAGCCGACCUGAGAGGGUGAUCGGCCACACUGGAACUGAGACACGGUCCAGACUCCUACGGGAGGCAGCAGUAGGGAAUCUUCCGCAAUGGGCGAAAGCUUGACGGAGCAACGCCGCGUGAGUGAUGAAGGUCUUCGGAUCGUAAAACUCUGUUAUUAGGGAAGAACAAAUGUGUAAGUAACUAUGCACGUCUUGACGGUACCUAAUCAGAAAGCCACGGCUAACUACGUG
rnacentral:rRNA from 1 species